AUCUAGCUGACGAAUUUCAAAUAAGACGAAACGUUCGUCCUGGAU
rnacentral:hammerhead_ribozyme from 1 species